rnacentral:lncRNA from 1 species
UGACAGAAAAUUAUUUAGUUUGUAUAAUAAAUUGGUAAAAUAUAUAAGCGUGUAUCAAAAAAAUGAAUUUACUUACAUGAAGUACAAUAGUUUGAUGAUGUUUGUCAUGUUAAAAUUAAUAAAUUAUUUUGGAUGACAUUUUGAUCCACAUAGCUAAUGCCAUAUCACACAUGCACGCUUGCAACAUUGCCUCUUUGAUUGCUCUAAUGCGACUGAAACUUGGGCUGCAUUGGAUGGUCAUUAUCAUAAUAGUUUUUCUAUUACUUCCACAU